UACGUAGGGGGCAAGCGUUGUCCGGAAUCAUUGGGCGUAAAGCGCGCGUAGGCGGCCCGAUAAGUCUGCUGUGAAAGUCCAGGGCUCAACCCUGGAAUGCCGGUGGAUACUGUCGGGCUAGAAUUCGGAAGAGGCAAGUGGAAUUCCUGGUGUAGCGGUGGAAUGCGCAGAUAUCAGGAGGAACACCUAUAGCGAAGGCAGCUUGCUGGGACGACACUGACGCUAAGGCGCGAAAGCGUGGGGAGCGAACAGG
rnacentral:rRNA from 1 species